rnacentral:rRNA from 1 species
AUUGAACGCUGGCGGCAGGCCUAACACAUGCAAGUCGAGCGGAGCGGCGGACGGGUGAGUAAUGCCUAGGAAUCUGCCUGGUAGUGGGGGAUAACGUCCGGAAACGGGCGCUAAUACCGCAUACUAUCAGAUGAGCCUAGGUCGGAUUAGCUAGUUGGUGGGGUAAAGGCACAACAAGGCGACGAACCGUAACUGGGCUGAGAGGAUGAUCAGGCACACUGGAACUUAGAAACGGUCCGGACUCCGAGUGGGGUCGGCAGUGGGGAAAAUUGGACAAUGGGCGAAAGCCUGAUCCAGCCAUGGCGCGUGUGUGAAGAAGGUCUUCGGAUUGGAAAACACUUUAAGUUGGGAGGCGUUACCAACAGAAUAAGCACCGGCUAACUUCGUGCCAGCCGCCGCGGUAAUUC